rnacentral:rRNA from 1 species
AUACCGGCAGCCCGAGUGGUGGUCGCUAUUAUUGGGCCUAAAGCGGCCGUAGCCGGGCUGGUAAGUCCCCGUGUAAACCCUGCCGCUUAACGGCAGGAUCUGCGGGGAUACUGCCAGCCUUGGGACCGGGAGACGCGGGGGUACUCCCGGGGUAGGGGUGAAAUCCUGUAAUCCCUGGGGGACCGCCGGUGGCGAAGGCGCCCCGCGAGAACGGGUCCGACGGUGAGGGCCGAAAGCCGGGGGAGCGAACCGGAUUAGAAACCCUAGUAGUCC